ensembl:misc_RNA Metazoa_SRP Metazoan signal recognition particle RNA
GCCGGGCGUGGUGGCAUGCGCCUGUAAUCCCAGCUACUCUGGAGGCUGAGGCAGGAGAAUUGCUUGAACCCAGGAGAUGGAGGUUGCAGUGAGCCAAGAUAGAGUCACUGCACUCCAGCCUGGGUGACAGAGCAAGAAUCUGUCUCAA